UGCAGAAUCCCGUGAACCAUCGAGUCUUUGAACGCAAGUUGCGCCCGAGACCUUUAGGUUGAGGGCACGUCUGCCUGGGUGUCACACAUCGUUGCCCCAACGCCAAACGCCUCGUGCUGUGCGGCGCUUGGGGCGAAUGCUGGCCUCCCGCGAGCCCAGGCUCACGGUUGGUUUAAAAUUGGGUCCAUGGUAGGGUAUGCCGUGAUGGAUGGUGGUUGAGUGACGCUCGAGACCAAUCACGGGAAACUCUAUCCUGCUCGGUCCCUGGAAACCCGGAUGCGUGGUGUGACCGCGCUCACAAUGAGACCUCAGGUCAGGCGGGGCUACCCGCUGAGUUUAAGCAUAUCAAUAAGCGGAGGAAAAGAAACUAACAAGGAUUCCCUUAGUAACGGCGAGCGAACCGGGAAGAGCCCACCAUGAGAAUCGGUCGCCUCAGGCGUCUGA
rnacentral:rRNA from 1 species